rnacentral:rRNA from 1 species
GAUGAACGCUGGCCGCGUGCUUAACACAUGCAAGUCGAACGGAAAGGCCGAAGCUUGCUUCGGUACUCGAGUGGCGAACGGGUGAGUAACACGUGGGUGAUCUGCCCUGUACUUCGGGAUAAGCUUGGGAAACUGGGUCUAAUACCGGAUAUGACGAUCUCUUGGAUGGGGUUGUGGAAAGCUUUUGCGGUAUGGGAUGAGCUCGCGGCCUAUCAGCUUGUUGGUGGGGUAAUGGCCUACCAAGGCGUCGACGGGUAGCCGGCCUGAGAGGGUGUACGGCCACAUUGGGACUGAGAUACGGCCCAGACUCCUACGGGAGGCAGCAGUGGGGAAUAUUGCACAAUGGGCGCAAGCCUGAUGCAGCGACGCCGCGCGGGGGAUGACGGCCUUCGGGUUGUAAACUCCUUUCGCAAUCGACGAAGCCUUUUGGUGACGGUAGGUGGAGAAGAAGCACCGGCUAACUACGUG